rnacentral:ncRNA from 1 species
CGUAUGGUGCUUAGCAAUUAAUAGGAAUUGACUAAGUGGCGAUACGGCCUAAUACAGAGGU